GUGCCCUUAGCUCAGUCGGUAGAGCAACUGACUUUUAAUCAGUAGGUCACAGGUUCGACCCCUGUAGGGCACACCA
rnacentral:tRNA from 3 species